rnacentral:tmRNA from 1 species
GGGGAUGUUCCGGAUUCGACCGGUUCGGCUCGGACUUGACGGCAUGCCGGGGAUGAUCGUUGGCCCCGUUAAAAAUCGAUCGACCAAAUAACUGCGAACGAAGAGUACGCACUGGCUGCUUAAUCGGCCACGUCAUUUCCCUGACGGACGCUAAGGGAUAAUGGCGCAGGCAGCGUCCUGGCGGGAAAUUUGAGCAUCUGGGAUAUCCCGUAAGAUUUUACAGCUGACCGUCUUUCAGCCAGCCCGUUUGCCGGCGGAGCUGAUGGAUUAAAUUGAAUAGGCAAAACAAGCAUGUAGAAGUUAUUUUCACACCGUCCCGGGACGCGGGUUCAACUCCCGCCAUCUCCACCA